CCCUAGCCCAGAUUGAAGCGAAAAUCCUUUUUAUUUUUUCUACAAAAAUAAAAAGAUUGUAGUGUAAAGCUGGAAAUAGC
rnacentral:sRNA from 1 species